rnacentral:tRNA from 2 species
GCUGAUGUAGCUCAGAUGGUAGAGCGUAUCCUUGGUAAGGAUAAGGUCACCAGUUCGAUUCUGGUCAUCAGCU